AAUGAAAUGCUGACUAUAUAUAUUCAGAAGUAUAACAGAGUUAUAUAGGUGUUACUCUGCCGACAUGGCUCUGCCUCUUGCUUGCGAAGAUGAUUUUCUUUUUAUGCUAUCUGGCAGUUCUCAUCUCAUAAUGGCUAUCGUUUGUUGUUGAUGCUAUUAUCUCUUAGUUUAAUUCUGCCUAUAGCGCAAGAUUUGAUUUCAUUCACGGUCCAUUAUUUAGCUACUUCAGCAGCCUGCUAGCCUUGCUAUCUCUAAGGAGAAAGAUAAAUGUCUUAACGAUAUUGCCAUUCCUGACAUUGAAAACGGUCAUGCUCUUCAUGCCCAACAAGUGUUACCUUUGAUUAGGCAUGCAAAUUCUUUACAAUCUCUUUGUCCAUUUCAGGGGAGAGCAUUUCAACGGAAGCAUGGACUAGAUGUGUACGGUAGAUGGCAAGCUAUUUUACUCAUGCAAUUAGAUGAAAAAAAAUUCAUAAUGUCCACUUUAAUGUUUAUUUGGCUCAUGAUUAAUGGUUAUUUUUUUAACUUCCAAAUGUUGGCUAGCAAUUGAUAUAAUAUGAUUUAAAAUGUCAUGAUCCGUUGAUUUACGGUCAUUGUUACAUUUGAUAAUUUAUAGUCAAAUAAAUGAACUUCAAUUGUUUCGGGCCUGGCAUGUCAUGUUAGCAUUGGUUUACAUUAUAGUACAAUGAAUGUAUGAUGAAAACAACAUCGCAAGAUCACUCAGCACUAUAGGCCGGCAGAGCAAAGCACACAUACACUACUAGUUUACUUGACGAAUACUUCAUUUGUUUGCAUCAUGCAUGCAUGUUUAGCUUUCAAAAUGAUUUUUUUAUCUUUUAACAAAACCUUAUUCUAAGCAGACAGAAAGUAUGUCUAGGGCAAGGCUACUUAGUGCAUUCGAGUACAUGAUGUUAGUACUCUUGGAAAUUAUCGUUCUUGAGCUGAUUAUGUGUCUCCAAUCAUAUCCCUUUCUAUUUAAUUGCAGAAUGCUCAUACUGAAAAUAGCAAUGCAGGCAAGCUAGGUGGUCUUCACCAAAUUACUGAGCAGGUACAUAUAUGCUAGGUAUCCAAAUGGUUGUACAACAAUACCUAGUCUAAUUAUCUAUGAAAUUGUCCUUGUUUGAGUAAUGUGAAAUCUUCCCAAGUUCAUGAAUAACAAAUGUUUCAUUUUUUUGCAAAAAAUGGGAUAAAACUGAACUCUUGUUCUUUUCGAUCAAUUCGAGAAACAAAACCAAACUUGUGGCCAAUGGAAUUUUAGGGAGUAAAGAUAGAACAUAUGUGGUUGAAGGAAACAUGCUAGGAGAGCAAUAUCUUGCAGUCUCUGUUUGUGGCUCUACAAAUCUAGGAGAUGAUAGUUGGUUAGACCAGAUGGAACAUUCAAAACAGUAGGAGGUGUUGGUUAUG
rnacentral:lncRNA from 1 species